rnacentral:lncRNA from 1 species
CAGGUUUAAAAUGCUGUGGCUGCUGAGAACAAUGUGCCUUAUCCAUGUACUUGGAAAAAUAUUUUGUUUAAUUGGACAAAACAAGAAUCCUGAAUCUAACAUGAAUGUUAGUGAGAUUAUUAAACACUGGGAAUAUCCAAGUGAAGAAUAUGAGGUUGUGACUGAUGAUGGUUACAUUCUUCCAAUUAACCGAAUUCCUCAUGGGAAGAACAAUGCUAAUAGUACAGCCCCAAAGAUGGUAGUAUUUUGUCUCCAUGGCUUGUUUUCAACUGCUGGUAUAUGGGUUUCCAAUCCUCCUGACAACAGCCUGGCCUUCAUCCUAGCAGAUGCUGGGUAUGAUGUGUGGUUGGGAAACAACAGAGGAAGUACCAGGGCAAAGAAACAUGUGACGCUCAACACAGAUUCUAAAGAAUUCUGGGCUUUUAGUUAUGAUGAGAUGAUAAAAUAUGACCUUCCAGCCAUCAUUAAGUUCAUUCUGGAGAAAACAGGACAAAAGCAGAUUUACUAUACUGGCCAUUCUCAAGGAACCCUAAUCGCUCUGGGGGCAUUUGCAACAAAUCAAGAACUGGCUGAAAAGAUUAAACUCAGCAUUUUAAUAGCUCCAGUUCAUACUGUUAAAUAUGUCAAAGGUGCUGGGCGCCUUCCAGCUUAUUUCACUCCAACGGCUUUCAAGGUCCUUUUUAUACUUACUCAUAAAAUGUGUAAAUCUCUAGGACUUAAAUUUGGUACCCAUUGAUUUAUCAUUACACUACUAUCAUUAAGAUAGAAAAUGUACUGGAUUUAUCUGGGCCAAUGUGUCAUUACUGUAAAACGAGGCAAUAGAACUCAAUAAAUGUUGAUUCUAUCAUAAGUUUUUGUAAUUAAUGAUAUGUUUUCUCUGUAUUUUAGGCAAUUAGAAGUGGUGUAUUUCAGGCUUAUGAUUGGGGAAGUCCAUCUCUGAAUAUGCAGCACUAUAAUCAGACUACUCCUCCUGUAUACAAUGUGGAAGACAUGAAGGUUCCAACUGCCAUGUUUAGUGGUUUAAAAGAUUUUUUGUCUAACCCAGAAGAUGUUGCAAAUUUGGUACCCAAAAUCUCCAACCUCACAUACCAUAAGAUUAUUUCUGAUUUUAGUCAUCUUGAUUUUAUAAUGGGAUUAAAUGCGAGGAAAGAGGUUUCUGAGGAAAUUUUAACAAUUCUUAGGAAAUAUGAUGGUGACAUACAGAUUUAGCUUUUUGCAUGUUUUUAAACGUUUCUGAAAGUCUCUUGCUGUUAUAAGUGCAAAUAUUGUCUUGUUUGGCAUUUUCCUCCUUAAUUAUCUUUUUUUUUUGAAAGCUAUUGGUUUAUUUGUUGCAGUAAUGAAAUCUAUGACCAUCAAAAGAAUACUUCAUCUUGUGACUGUUUUAAAUUAAGCUAAGUUCAUAUAUUUUUGAAGUGAUUUUUCCUGAAUAAAAGACUUGCUUUUAAUUUACAGUAAUGAAAUCCUAAUAUACUGAUAAAGAAAGAGGCCUGGCCCAUUUGUGAUAUCAGACAUGAUGCUGUCGGAAGAACAGAUCAGAACACAUUUCAUACAUUAGAACCAAGGCUAUAGAAGGACAGGUAAUCUUGUUGCUUAGAUCACACAAGUCUUAGUGACUAGUCGAAAUUCAAACUUUCCAUCACAACAAAGGUGUGGAUCAGCCACUGUUGAAUAAGUCACUUAUGUCAGUAUUCUCUGGCAUGAGGGGAAGAGGAAAUAUUUAAAGUGAUAUAAGAUAUUUAAAAUUAUCCACAGAAUUGAUCAUUCAUUCCCUGUAAAAUAAAGUAUUUUGAACUUUCUUUGCAACACAAAGUGACCACAAAUUCAAACACACAAUUUUAAUUUUAUUAUUAAAAUUUUAAUCUAAUUCUUAUCUUUUUAAUCCUAAAGUAAUAAUUCUGGGCAUAGUUUAAACAAUAUAAAGAGUAACCAUGCCCAGUCUCAAAUGUAUUAUUCUUGCAAUAUUUUCCAUGAUUAUAAAGAUGUGUGUGUGUGUGUCUGUGCAUGUGCACAUGUGCGCAUGUAUGUUAAGUUCCUUGUAUUCCACGUUUGUGUAGGUCUUUUAACUAAUUAUAUAUUGGACUUUUGUGAAAGGCCUUUUCCCAUCUAUUGAUGUUCACAUAAUUACUGUUUUUCGUCCAUUUAUGGGAUCAUGUAUUACAUUUAUUGGCUUGGAAUAUGUCAAAUUUUCCCUGUAGUAUUUCUGAAAUAAAGCCAAAUUAUUAAU